UACGUAGGGGCCUAGCGUUGUCCGGAAUUAUUGGGCGUAAAGGGCUCGUAGGCGGUUUGUCGCGUCGGGAGUGAAAACCAUGGGCUUAACUCAUGGCUUGCUUUCGAUACGGGCAGACUAGAGGUAUGCAGGGGAGAACGGAAUUCCUGGUGUAGCGGUGAAAUGCGCAGAUAUCAGGAGGAACACCGAUGGCGAAGGCAGGUCUCUGGGCCACUACUGACGCUGAGAAGCGAAAGCAUGGGGAGCGAACAGG
rnacentral:rRNA from 1 species